AUCAUCAUUACAAUAAAAUAAAAAAGAAGGUGUUUCUCUCCAGAGCAUGAUAUCUAAAACAUGAGAUAACACCUCAGUAAAAAUUUAUACCCUAUCAAGUUAUAACAUUAAUACAGCUCACAUAAUUUUACUCUUACGUGAACUAAACAAAAGGGAAACGAUAGCGUUUGAUCAAUGGCUCAAUUUCUUCUUCGUCGUCGUGAUACCAUGGAUCGAUUGUUCUGCUGAAUGCCUUCAGCGCCGUUUAUACCAUGGUCUGACUCUGUUGCUGAUCCUAGCCAUGACUCUCUCUACCAAUCUGAGCAGAUCCGACGAUGAUGUUAGCCCCAUCGAUGGUCGAUCGGUUAUGGUGGAUUUCUUCUUCUUCGAUCCACCAGAAUAUGUUCAUCAGAUCCGACGAUGAUGGGUUUUUUCUUCUUCUACGUUUCGUUCCCAGAAAUUGGAAGAGAUCCGAGGGAGAAAAAGAUGAGUGCUCCAGUGAAAGAGGAGAGCUAUUUUUGUGUGGAACUGAGUGUAUUUUAACCGAGUUUUAUCGGCUAAGAUGACAUCAAAUUAGACCAGUGGCCGAAUUUCAAGUCCUACAUCUUAGGAGACGCAACACAGAAUGUGUUACUUGUGUAAGUUUUCUUCUCACCGUGGUUCCAUAUCUAGGUUUAUUAUGAUUUUUAAAUUAGUAUUUGUUGGUGAAGUUACUUUCGUGUUGUGGACAAGUCAGGCUAGGAGGCCUUUAGCUAUUCAACAUUUUUUGAAGUUUCUGAUCGUUAGAUAGUUAUAGCCAGAGUUUUGUAUUAGACGUUAUGUUGAUGCAGUUAGUAUCUUAUAAUGUAUAUUGUGCUCCUAAAUAUUUUUGUAAUCGUGAACUGGCCAGGAGAAGUUGUUUUCUCCAGUAAUUAAGUAUUGCAUAUGAACUUGCAAA